UACAGAGGUCCCAAGCGUUGUUCGGAUUCAUUGGGCGUAAAGGGUGUGUAGGUGGCGCCGUAAGUCGGGUGUGAAAUUUCGGAGCUUAACUCCGAAACUGCAUUCGAUACUGCGGUGCUUGAGGACUGGAGAGGAGACUGGAAUUCAUGGUGUAGCAGUGAAAUGCGUAGAGAUCAUGAGGAAGACCAGUGGCGAAGGCGGGUCUCUGGACAGUUCCUGACACUGAGGCGCGAAAGCGUGGGGAGCAAACGGG
rnacentral:rRNA from 1 species